AGCCUGUUACGGUUCAUUAAAGAGAUCAUUCUUUUUCUAAAUGCUCAAUCGACACUUCCCAGGUAGUCAAAUGCUCGAUAGGCGAGGGAGGUGACGGAGGAGGCGGCACAGGCACGGGUGCCGCUAACGAUUGUUGUGGCCGGGAGAUCGGUUUGCAGACAAAUAUCUCGCUUUUCCGAGGCGUAGGCGGCAGUUCCAGUGUGAGAGCGUGCCAGCUGAAAGUCUCAUUUUCCUAAAACCCAGACAAACGGCUAAUAACACCUUCGCGAACGAACUCAAAUAAAGACAAACAAGAGUCGCUUCUAGCUUGAUCGCCGCUCCAACAUGUAGAAACGUUUAAGCAUUCCUUCAGGAUUACAGGAUCUACUCAUGGAAUGUCUGCUCACAAACUACAAUUCUACGGUCGCUUUAUCGUUUCCUCUUUGACGGGGAAAUUUGGAGCGCGCAAUAAGCCAAUCUGUCUACGGCAAAGGCCGGAAAAAAAGGUACCACCAGCGGCGAUAAAUCGGGGUAGAGAUUCUGUAUCUGACACCGACCACCUGCUGAUUCUGCGAGCUCGUCCGGAGAUCCAGGACCAGGGUGGUGCGCUCGCGCGGAUUGCAGGUCACCGGCAAAUCCUCCUGGGCCGG